rnacentral:rRNA from 1 species
AUUGAACGCUGGCGGCAGGCCUAACACAUGCAAGUCGAGCGGAAACGAAGGGAGCUUGCUCCCAGGCGUCGAGCGGCGGACGGGUGAGUAACACGUGAGAAUCUGCCCAUUAGUGGGGGACAACUCGGGGAAACUCGAGCUAAUACCGCAUAAUCCCUACGGGGGAAAGCAGGGGACCUGUUGGCCUUGCGCUGAUGGAUGUGCGCACGUCGGAUUAGCUUGUUGGGGAGGUAAAGGCUCACCAAGGCGACGAUCCGUAGCUGGUCUGGGAGGAUGAUCAGCCACACUGGGACUGAGACACGGCCCAGACUCCUACGGGAGGCAGCAGUGGGGAAUCUUGGACAAUGGGGGCAACCCUGAUCCAGCCAUGCCGCGUGUGUGAAGAAGGCCUUCGGGUUGUAAAGCACUUUCAGCAGGGAGGAAGGCUUUGGCCGAAUAGGUUGAAGUACUUGACGUUACCUGCAGAAGAAGCACCGGCUAAUUUCGUGCCAGCCGCCGCCGUAA